rnacentral:rRNA from 1 species
GACGGAGGGUGCUAGCGUUGUUCGGAUUCACUGGGCGUAAAGGGUGCGUAGGUGGCGAAGUAAGUCGGAUGUGAAAUCUCCGAGCUCAACUCGGAAAUGGCAUUGGAAACUACUUUGCUCGAGGGUCGGAGGGGGGACUGGAAUUCUCGGUGUAGCAGUGAAAUGCGUAGAUAUCGAGAGGAACACCAGUGGCGAAGGCGAGUCCCUGGACGACUCCUGACACUGAGGCACGAAAGCUAGGGGAGCAAACAGG